UUGGGGGCGGGGCUUGGAAGUCCCAGGCGCGUUCUGUGGUUGAUGAAACAGGGUUUCUUGGUUUGGGGUCCAUUCGUCCCUCACUAGGACUGAGCACGUGAAGGGUCCAGGAAGCAGAAAGACCGCGUGGCAGCAGCAGUUCCCAGAGGUGGCCAGCAGAGGGCAGAGUGGACCGCGAGACAUUUACUGAAUGGACUCGGGGACCCAGAGAACCAGGGUAAUUACCAAUUACCAUGAGGAGCCAGGCAGUCAGAUGUGAGGAUGGGGACAGGGACAUGGGUUCCCCCUACUGCUCCCCUCCCCACCCACGCUGCUGCCCACCCUGCGAGCUCCUGGGAGGAG